UACGGAGGAUCCAAGCGUUAUCCGGAUUUAUUGGGUUUAAAGGGUGCGUAGGCGGCUUUUUAAGUCAGGGGUGAAAGACGGUAGCUCAACUAUCGCAGUGCCCUUGAUACUGAAGAGCUUGAAUGUACUUGAGGUAGGCGGAAUGUGACAAGUAGCGGUGAAAAUGCAUAGAUAUGUCACAGAACACCAAUUGCGAAGGCAGCUUACUAAAGUAUGAUUGACGCUGAGGCACGAAAAGCGUGGGGAUCAAACAGG
rnacentral:rRNA from 1 species